UUUGAGAAAGCAAAGAAUGCAUUUAACUGUUAAUUAAAAGAAGGCCAGUAAGGCUCUCAAAC
rnacentral:tRNA from 1 species